GGGCAUAUAGUUGAGUGGUAGAACAGCCCAUCAGCCAGGGACAGGUCCUAGGUUCAAUUCCUAGCCUGUCCA
rnacentral:tRNA from 1 species